AACACUAUACUUUCAGGGAUCACUUCUAUAGUUCCUGACUAGAGAAAUGUGUUUUUAAAGUGUUUGGUCUCGCUAGCCACGAUGAUGAGUUGUGAUGUUCCCUUCUGAGAGAGAAGCUGGCAGUGAAUAAUGAGUCUGUUCAUAUCUUCACUGUCACUGAUGACUGAUUUUUGCUUCCUUGGGGAGCAUUGAGGAGGGGAAUAUUAUCAUAGUGGU
ensembl:snoRNA U3 Small nucleolar RNA U3